GACACAAUCUGACAUAAUUACAAUAUUGUGGUUAUUUAUUCUUGGAAGUCGAACAAUGGCGUUUAUUUUAUUGGUCCUCGCUGAUGUGAGGUUUCGCUUGCUUUGCUCAUGUAUGUGUUUUAAUCUUAAGAAUAUUCUUUACUCUUAGCGAAGAGAUAAAGAAGUGGUGAAGAAUCAAUGAGCUUUUACUGUUUGGAACGGCAAUAUUUUAUUCAAAGGAUAGGGCAGGCUUUUGUGUUAUUCAGCAGAAGCUAAGAUGAAUUAUUGAAGUGUUUCGUGUGUGCAGCUUAAUUCAAGCAGCUGGCUAACCUAGCAGUCAACUUGCGGACCGUCUAGCCGAUUUGCUUGGUCUUUUCGGACUGGACGGAGCGUACCACGGAUGCUUCACCUCCAGGGUUUUGCAGGUCCUACCUGGACACGGUACUUCGGGAGGUACCUACACUGGAUCCUAGUUAAGUUGAUCGUUGAGUGCCUUCACCUUGGAUACUACGAUGAUACGGUGCUUCGGGUCACGUCGCCUGCCAGUUUGGGGAUUGACGAAAAAUAUCCAAGAGGACCACGUGUAAACUUAGGGACCGGAUGACGCAGUAUUGCACUGCCCAACUUACGUUGGUUUUGACCUAGCUUUGCUGCUGUCAGAUAAGAAAAAAAACUGAAGAAGUCAAAACCCGGAAGACGCACACUGAAACCUUCUGUAAUGAUGAUUAACUUUAAAUAAUAUAAAAUGAAAUUAACAAUUUUUGAAUCUUCUUUAACAUCGAUCUGAUGAUAUCUACUCUUACGUGCUCUCGUACUUAUCUUUUAUGUUUUACACUUCUUUUCAUUAAACAAAGUGAGUAUUCGUUUUUUUUUCGAUCCUUUAAAAAAUAUCUUUGUAUUGUACUAGACGAACUGAAUGAAAUUAUAAUGACCGCUUUUUUGACUGGGUUCGCAAACCUAUUAAGAUGGAUUGAUGUGAUAAAA